rnacentral:rRNA from 1 species
AGCCUACGGGGCGCAGCAGUGGGGAAUAUUGCACAAUGGGGGAAACCCUGAUGCAGCGACGCCGCGUGAGCGAGGAAGUACCUCGGUAUGUAAAGCUCUGUCAGCAGGGAAGAAAAUGACAGUACCUGACCAAGAAGCCCCGGCUAACUACGUGCCAGCAGCCGCGGUAAUACGUAGGGGGCAAGCGUUAUCCGGAAUUACUGGGUGUAAAGGGAGCGUAGACGGUAAUGCAAGUCUGGAGUGAAAGGCGGGGGCCCACCCCCCGGACUGCUCUGGAAACUGUGUAACUGGAGUGCAGGAGAGGG